UCUGCAAGUAGAUCUCCUUCUCAUGCGCACGGUUGUCAUCCCUCCCGUUGGCUCCCAUAGUGACUAAAGUAAUUUUAAUUUGCUCCCUUUUGAUUGUGCAACUAUAUCGUUAUAAUCAAUAUUAUGGGAAUUUCGUUGCCUUGUGGUGUCAUCUGUGAAUGCUGCCUUAAGUCUGUGAAUGAUAUCUGUGAAUGUUGCCUUAUGUCUAUGGAUUAUCCUGUUUAUUUCGUGUAAUGCUGCCUCUGAAUGCUUUCUAUGAAUGCUGCCUAUGAAUGCUUCCUAUGAAUGCUGCCUAUGAAUGCUUUGUGCUUCAUGUAAUCCAUGCGUCAAAACUAUUCAAUAUGGUUAUGAUUAUUACCAUAAUUUUGUGUCGCAG
rnacentral:lncRNA from 1 species